UGCAUCCGUGUCAAAUUCAGCUGGUUCUGUCCAGUGGACCUCACUGGCCAACAUGGCUGCCACAGUGACUGUAGUCCAUGGGCCCCGCCGCUUUGCAUUGUGGGCAGUGGGGAUAAAUAUGUACUACGGACAAAU